rnacentral:rRNA from 1 species
AUUGAACGCUAGCGGCAGGCCUAACACAUGCAAGUCGAGCGAGCGGCGGACGGGUGAGUAAUGUAUGGGGACUGCCCGCUAGAGGGGGAUAACUACGGGAAACGGUAGCUAAUACCGCAUACUAUCGGAUAACCCAUAUGGGAUUAGCUAGUAGGUGAGGUAAUGGCUCACCUAGUCGACGCUCCCUAGCUGGGCUGAGCGGAUGAUCAGCAAAACUGGGACUGAGACACGGCCCAGACUCCUACGGAGGCAGCAGUGGGGAAUAGUGGACAAUGGGCGCAAGCCUGAUGCAGCCAUGCCGCGUGUAUGAAGAAGGCCCUAGGGUUGUAAAGUACUGUCAGUCGGGAGGCGUUACCGACAGAAGAAGCACCGGCUAACUCCGUGCCAGCAGCCGCGGUAAUAC